UUCUUAUAGAAAUUAUUAUAAGUAAAAUCUGCUCAAUGAUAUAAAUAGCCGCAGAUUCCUUCUGUGCUAAGGUAGCAUAAUCAUUUGUCUUUUAAUUAAAGACUAGUAUGAAAGAUUAAACAUUUUAAUUAUUCUAUUAACUUUAUUUUUCGAAUUUAUUUUAAAUGUAAAAAAACAUUUAUACAUUAUAAAGACGACAAGACCCUAUCGAACUUUACUUUAGUUUAACUGGGGCAGUUAAUUAAAUUAAAUCUUAAUUAUAAUAACAAUAAACCAUGACCCAAUAAAAUUGAUUACUUGAUCAAGUUACCGUAGGGAUAACAGCGUAAUAUUCUUUUAAAGCUCUUAUUAAAAAGGAAGUUUGCGACCUCGAUGUUGAAUGGUAACCCUAUUAAUUUGAUGCAACAAUCUAAAAAGGAGGUCUGUUCGACCUUUAAUUUACCACA
rnacentral:rRNA from 1 species